CGGAUUGCAGGCUGCAACUCGCCUGCAUGAAGCCGGAAUCGCUAGUAAUCGCGGAUCAGAAUGCCGCGGUGAAUACGUUCCCGGGUCUUGUACACACCGCCCGUCACACCAUGGGAGUCGGGAAUGCCCGAAGUCAGUGGCCCAACCGGAAGGGGGGAGCUGCCGAAGGCAGGCCCGGUGACUGGGGUGAAGUCGUAACAAGGUAGC
rnacentral:rRNA from 1 species